rnacentral:precursor_RNA from 15 species
GACCAUUACCAUCCUGGGCUUCCCUGGCUUUAGCAGCACAAAAAUAUUGGCACCUGAGGGAAAGCCAUGCCAGUAUUGAGAGUGCUGCUCUAGACAGGGUAGCUAGAGCAGCUGUGGGAAGA